rnacentral:lncRNA from 1 species
GCGGCGGGAAGGCCAGUGGAGGGGGGAUGCAGGAGAGAGGUGGGGAACCCUCCCGACUUCAGGAGCCCCUGGGCCAGGGCUGGUUCUGUGGGUUGCUGGUGCUCUGGCCUAGGAAUGCUGGCCGAACCCCAAGAGCAGCCUAGGAGGCCAGAGACCAGGGAGCACAGCUGGCUCCCCGGGGUCUUGGUCUGAGCACUAGGAUGGAGCUGGGGCCAGCGACUGAGACCUUCGUGCUGGAGCUUCGGUGUCUCGAAGAUGGGGGCCCGGGGCCCGGCACCCUCUCAGGUGGCAGCGGUGGGAGUGAGAGUCAGGAGGAAGAAGAGGCUCAGGAGAACGGCAGCCCACGGCGGCCAACAAGCUCAGCCCCGACGGGGGCCAGUGAAAUGGCUGAGGAAGCACAGCAGGGGCAGCCGGAGUUGCAGCCACAACAGUCAGAACAGCAACCCGCGCUGCCACAACAGCCACGGCAGGAGCGGCGACCACAAAGCCGAUCCCCAGGUCCGCAGCAA